rnacentral:rRNA from 1 species
UUAAGCGACUAAGCGUACACGGUGGAUGCCCUGGCAGUCAGAGGCGAUGAAGGACGUGCUAAUCUGCGAUAAGCGUCGGUAAGGUGAUAUGAACCGUUAUAACCGGCGAUUUCCGAAUGGGGAAACCCAGUGUGAUUCGUCACACUAUCAUUAACUGAAUCCAUAGGUUAAUGAGGCGAACCGGGGGAACUGAAACAUCUAAGUACCCCGAGGAAAAGAAAUCAACCGAGAUUCCCCCAGUAGCGGCGAGCGAACGGGGAGCAGCCCAGAGCCUGAAUCAGUGUGUGUGUUAGUGGAAGCGUCUGGAAAGGCGCGCGAUACAGGGUGACAGCCCCGUACACAAAAAUGCACAUACUGUGAGCUCGAUGAGUAGGGCGGGACACGUGGUAUCCUGUCUGAAUAUGGGGGGACCAUCCUCCAAGGCUAAAUACUCCUGACUGACCGAUAGUGAACCAGUACCGUGAGGGAAAGGCGAAAAGAACCCCGGCGAGGGGAGUGAAAAAGAACCUGAAACCGUGUACGUACAAGCAGUGGGAGCACGCUUAGGCGUGUGACUGCGUACCUUUUGUAUAAUGGGUCAGCGACUUAUAUUCUGUAGCAAGGUUAACCGAAUAGGGGAGCCGAAGGGAAACCGAGUCUUAACUGGGCGUUAAGUUGCAGGGUAUAGACCCGAAACCCGGUGAUCUAGCCAUGGGCAGGUUGAAGGUUGGGUAACACUAACUGGAGGACCGAACCGACUAAUGUUGAAAAAUUAGCGGAUGACUUGUGGCUGGGGGUGAAAGGCCAAUCAAACCGGGAGAUAGCUGGUUCUCCCCGAAAGCUAUUUAGGUAGCGCCUCGUGAAUUCAUCUCCGGGGGUAGAGCACUGUUUCGGCAAGGGGGUCAUCCCGACUUACCAACCCGAUGCAAACUACGAAUACCGGAGAAUGUUAUCACGGGAGACACACGGCGGGUGCUAACGUCCGUCGUGAAGAGGGAAACAACCCAGACCGCCAGCUAAGGUCCCAAAGUCAUGGUUAAGUGGGAAACGAUGUGGGAAGGCCCAGACAGCCAGGAUGUUGGCUUAGAAGCAGCCAUCAUUUAAAGAAAGCGUAAUAGCUCACUGGUCGAGUCGGCCUGCGCGGAAGAUGUAACGGGGCUAAACCAUGCACCGAAGCUGCGGCAGCGACGCUUAUGCGUUGUUGGGUAGGGGAGCGUUCUGUAAGCCUGCGAAGGUGUGCUGUGAGGCAUGCUGGAGGUAUCAGAAGUGCGAAUGCUGACAUAAGUAACGAUAAAGCGGGUGAAAAGCCCGCUCGCCGGAAGACCAAGGGUUCCUGUCCAACGUUAAUCGGGGCAGGGUGAGUCGACCCCUAAGGCGAGGCCGAAAGGCGUAGUCGAUGGGAAACAGGUUAAUAUUCCUGUACUUGGUGUUACUGCGAAGGGGGGACGGAGAAGGCUAUGUUGGCCGGGCGACGGUUGUCCCGGUUUAAGCGUGUAGGCUGGUUUUCCAGGCAAAUCCGGAAAAUCAAGGCUGAGGCGUGAUGACGAGGCACUACGGUGCUGAAGCAACAAAUGCCCUGCUUCCAGGAAAAGCCUCUAAGCAUCAGGUAACAUCAAAUCGUACCCCAAACCGACACAGGUGGUCAGGUAGAGAAUACCAAGGCGCUUGAGAGAACUCGGGUGAAGGAACUAGGCAAAAUGGUGCCGUAACUUCGGGAGAAGGCACGCUGAUAUGUAGGUGAAGUCCCUCGCGGAUGGAGCUGAAAUCAGUCGAAGAUACCAGCUGGCUGCAACUGUUUAUUAAAAACACAGCACUGUGCAAACACGAAAGUGGACGUAUACGGUGUGACGCCUGCCCGGUGCCGGAAGGUUAAUUGAUGGGGUUAGCGCAAGCGAAGCUCUUGAUCGAAGCCCCGGUAAACGGCGGCCGUAACUAUAACGGUCCUAAGGUAGCGAAAUUCCUUGUCGGGUAAGUUCCGACCUGCACGAAUGGCGUAAUGAUGGCCAGGCUGUCUCCACCCGAGACUCAGUGAAAUUGAACUCGCUGUGAAGAUGCAGUGUACCCGCGGCAAGACGGAAAGACCCCGUGAACCUUUACUAUAGCUUGACACUGAACAUUGAGCCUUGAUGUGUAGGAUAGGUGGGAGGCUUUGAAGUGUGGACGCCAGUCUGCAUGGAGCCGACCUUGAAAUACCACCCUUUAAUGUUUGAUGUUCUAACGUGGACCCGUAAUCCGGGUUGCGGACAGUGUCUGGUGGGUAGUUUGACUGGGGCGGUCUCCUCCUAAAGAGUAACGGAGGAGCACGAAGGUUGGCUAAUCCUGGUCGGACAUCAGGAGGUUAGUGCAAUGGCAUAAGCCAGCUUGACUGCGAGCGUGACGGCGCGAGCAGGUGCGAAAGCAGGUCAUAGUGAUCCGGUGGUUCUGAAUGGAAGGGCCAUCGCUCAACGGAUAAAAGGUACUCCGGGGAUAACAGGCUGAUACCGCCCAAGAGUUCAUAUCGACGGCGGUGUUUGGCACCUCGAUGUCGGCUCAUCACAUCCUGGGGCUGAAGUAGGUCCCAAGGGUAUGGCUGUUCGCCAUUUAAAGUGGUACGCGAGCUGGGUUUAGAACGUCGUGAGACAGUUCGGUCCCUAUCUGCCGUGGGCGCUGGAGAAUUGAGGGGGGCUGCUCCUAGUACGAGAGGACCGGAGUGGACGCAUCACUGGUGUUCGGGUUGUCAUGCCAAUGGCACUGCCCGGUAGCUAAAUGCGGAAGAGAUAAGUGCUGAAAGCAUCUAAGCACGAAACUUGCCCCGAGAUGAGUUCUCCCUGACUCCUUGAGAGUCCUGAAGGAACGUUGAAGACGACGACGUUGAUAGGCCGGGUGUGUAAGCGCAGCGAUGCGUUGAGCUAACCGGUACUAAUGAACCGUGAGGCUUAACCUU